GACAGAGGGGGCAAGCGUUGCUCGGAAUUACUGGGCGUAAAGGGCGCGUAGGCGGGAUGGCAAGUCGGUCGUGAAAUCCCUCGGCUCAACCGAGGAACGUCGAUCGAUACUGCUGUUCUUGAGGAUUGCAGAGGAGACUGGAAUUCCCGGUGUAGCGGUGAAAUGUGUAGAGAUCGGGAGGAACACCGGUGGCGAAGGCGGGUCUCUGGGCAAUUCCUGACGCUGAGGCACGAAAGCGUGGGGAGCAAACGGG
rnacentral:rRNA from 1 species